rnacentral:lncRNA from 1 species
UCAAAUUCAUAAUUAACUUCACGAUUCUAUUUGCAACCAAACAACAGUUAUAAAAGAAAUAAUUCCAAAACUUAAAGCAAAGGAUGAGAGUUGUGUCUCUCCAAAGCCAUUCUCACAUAGCCAUUUAAAGCUUCUCCUCUCUGUCAUCCAACCAAUUUAAUACUUGAACUUUCUUCAUGUAUAACAAAUAUAUAAAAAUACCAUACAACAAUUACAACGAUAACAUCAACUCCUUAUAUAACCUUAAAGUCAACAAAAGAAUACACUUUCUCUGCACUAAACUUCAACUUGUAUCUGGAUAAGCUAUGAGAUAAAUCCAAAGUCGUUGCAACCUCAACCUCAUCCAAAAUCUGAACAAAAACACUUUAUUAAAAUAUUAAAUUAAAAAAAGUCAGCAAACAUGAAGUCUAAAUUCAGUUUAAUUUAACUAUCCCAUAUAUGAAAUAUUUACUACUUUUUGCUUCAUAGAGAAAUAAAGGGAAAAAAUUGAAGCUUUUCACAUGAACCACAUUUAGAGAAACCCUUCUAUAUAUCAAAAAGAAAAAAAAAGAAAAUUUUAGAAAAUAACAAAGAUUCAUUAACCAAUAAUCAUAGAUAUCAGAAAUGCAAAAGCAUGCUGAAAGUCACCAACAAACAAAAAAGGAAGCUUAAUGCAACAAACAAAAAGCAUGUUGUCAUUGGUUUCUCAACUCAGAUUUGAGAGAAAUUUUUCUAAAACAAUUAUCAUUCAGGACUGAUGCCUCGAGGCACCAUACAGGAUUGGUUGUGGUGUGCCCUGUGGUUCUUCCACUCUGACCUCCCUGCAGUUCAACGUGUAAAAAAUUAGACUGAAGGGAAAAGGAAGGAGAAUUUUGAUUUGUUCAACAGGUUUACAGGAUAUUCCUCCAGAAAUGUCUUUGAUCAUAUCAAAUGGACCUGCAACUCCACCCAUAUAUUCUUAUUUUCAAAUGACAUGGAUAAACUCCAACAGAAUUUCAGAAAUAAAUGCCCCGACAAAGCACAAAACACACAUUUACCUCAAAAGAAUUGGCUGGGAAAGCUAAAAGAUACUGCAUACGAGCUGGAGGACAUCAUGGACGAAUAUGCCUAUUAAGAAUUGAGGUUGGAGCAACAAGGAGAAUCAUACAAGGUACAAUGCUCUUGCUUAUCCUCUUUGCAACCCUAGCAUGUUGUUUUCCGUUACAAAAUUGCUGAGAGAAUCAAAAGUAUAAGUGAGAGAUUAGGUGAUAUUGCUAAAGAAAGGGAGCAGCUUCAUUUGAUUGAGACAGACUCGGAGAGAAGAAGUGGAGUCGCUGAUUCGCGCAAAACUAACUUCUCCAUUACAAUUGAUAAUCCGAGACUACUUUCUUUUGAGAACAGAGAAAUUAUUGAAGUUGGUUUUGCUUUCGAUCAAAGUCUUCUCCAUUGCAUGAUUAACUAAAAUAAACAACUAAAGUGCCACCGUUGGUUGGUCUUUUACACCCAGUUAAUUGUUAAAACAUUUAGCAAUGAUUUGUUGUUUU